CGAGCGGUAAGGCCUUUCGGGGUACACGAGCGGCGAACGGGUGAGUAACACGUGGGUGAUCUGCCCUGCACUCUGGGAUAAGCUUGGGAAACUGGGUCUAAUACCGGAUAUGACCACAGCAUGCAUGUGUUGUGGUGGAAAGAUUUAUCGGUGCAGGAUGGGCCCGCGGCCUAUCAGCUUGUUGGUGGGGUAAUGGCCUACCAAGGCGACGACGGGUAGCCGACCUGAGAGGGUGACCGGCCACACUGGGACUGAGACACGGCCCAGACUCCUACGGGAGGCAGCAGUGGGGAAUAUUGCACAAUGGGCGGAAGCCUGAUGCAGCGACGCCGCGUGAGGGAUGAAGGCCUUCGGGUUGUAAACCUCUUUCAGCAGGGACGAAGCGUGAGUGACGGUACCUGCAGAAGAAGCACCGGCUAACUACGUGCCAGCAGCCGCGGUAAUACGUAGGGUGCGAGCGUUGUCCGGAAUUACUGGGCGUAAAGAGUUCGUAGGCGGUUUGUCGCGUCGUUUGUGAAAACCCGGGGCUCAACUUCGGGCUUGCAGGCGAUACGGGCAGACUUGAGUGUUUCAGGGGAGACUGGAAUUCCUGGUGUAGCGGUGAAAUGCGCAGAUAUCAGGAGGAACACCGGUGGCGAAGGCGGGUCUCUGGGAAACAACUGACGCUGAGGAACGAAAGCGUGGGUAGCAAACAGGAUUAGAUACCCUGGUAGUCCACGCCGUAAACGGUGGGCGCUAGGUGUGGGUUCCUUCCACGGGAUCUGUGCCGUAGCUAACGCAUUAAGCGCCCCGCCUGGGGAG
rnacentral:rRNA from 1 species